rnacentral:rRNA from 1 species
UAGGGAAUCUUCCACAAUGGGCGAAUGCCUGAUGGAGCAACGCCGCGUGUGUGAUGAAGGGUUUCGGCUCGUAAAACACUGUUGUAAGAGAAGAAUGACAUUGAGAGUAACUGUUCAAUGUGUGACGGUAUCUUACCAGAAAGGAACGGCUAAAUACGUGCCAG